ensembl:lncRNA
GCUCCACAUUUCCCGUGAUGACUUUAAGUUGGUCCAAGUUAUCAUGAGAGGUCAAGAGGUCAUCGACAUAGCUGUCUUCCUGCAGCACUCGACGCUCUUCCUCAAGAUGGCUGAACUGAGGGAGGUUAGCAGUCUCUCUCAUGGCGAGUUGAGCGAUGCAGCCUGCUGGCUUGUCUCCAAUGUUAACUCUCGUGACUGCAUAUUCAGCCAGCUCUUCUUCCUCAGAGUCACGCCACAGGAACCUAUGCAAAUGCACCUCUUGAUCUUCCAGCCACACUGAAUUGUACAUUUUCUUUACAUCUCCUAAAGCAGCAAACCCUCCCCUCCGGAAUUUAAGAAGCACAGCACGGAUUGAGUUAAGGACGUCUGGGCCUUUCAGCAGGAGAUCAUUGAGGCUCACCCCUCUGCACUUUUGACUGCUGUUCCAGACCAGUCUUACCGGAGUUGUGACAGAGUGUGGGUUGGGUGCGAUGAGGUGGCUAAUGUACCAUACUGGGCCAGUCCAUUCACGAAGUACAUCUUUGGUCAACUUCAUUGCAGCCCUGCGCUCGACCAUCUCGUGCACUUGAGCGGCAUAGGCGGCCUUCCAUUCUGGCUCCCUGGCCAGUUGCCUCUCAGUCCUCAAGAAUGUGGCCUCGACUGCGCUCCUGUUGCUUGGUAAUGUGGCUGGAUCUUCCACCCAGGGGUACUUAGUGUGCCAGUGAGGCCUCUCACUGUGGUCAUCAGCUGCUACAUAUGUGAGCCCGCUCUUUACCACCUCCAGCUCCCUUUCUUCAGCGAGGGUCAUUUCUUUGCCGCCUGGCUGACAGUUUCCGCAACGACAGCCCCCACAUCUCGGAACACAACCAGCACCAAUGCUUUCCCAUUUCCACCAGUCGAUGAAGCUGGAUGUAGUAGCAGCACAGCUGGAUAUCUGAGGUUGGGCGGAAGUUGGGGCUCGCUGGCUUUGAGGAGGAUGAAUGGGGACUGCGCAGGUGUGUUCUUCAUACUUUGCAGCAGCAGUUCUCAUAGACCUGGCAAAGUGUGUCCUCGACGUAUGGGCUGAUACAGUGACCUCCUCAAACAGCUCAGGAUGGGUGCCAGCAACUGUCUUCCCCAUGGGUCCAUCCCACAGUACGAGGUCCCCCACCGUUCGGAUUCUCCGUGGAGCCAGUUGACCCUCCUUGUGACUUACAAGGAGCUGGAUCUCUUUUGGCCUUGUCAGGUCGCUGAGCGGGACAUCUGGGAAGAACUGUUGCAGUUUUCUGGCUGACACAUGUCUGUGGAUAUCUGCAAUGCGGUCUAAGCCGUAGCAAACCAGCUGGUGGGACUUGAGAGCGCCUCCUGAGGUGCCAACCCGGAUUUUCAGGAGAUACCGCUUUGUUUUAACAAAGACUUUCAUGCCUCCCACCCCAUGAACCACAAGUGUGAUAUCUUCACUUCUGAGAUUGAGCCGACCUGCUGCCUCAUGGGUGAUAUAAUUGGUGUCAGAAGCUAGGUCGAUCAGGGUCCCAAUUCUCUGCCCAGCAUUGGCUGUCACCUCCAAAAGCAUCAUGAUGACGGGCCACUCCGCUAGGCCGCCCUCUGCCAGAAGACUUGAGUGACUCUUUGCGACGUGGGAGGUGCUUGUUGCUGUAUUGCAGAAUGCGUCCCGGCACUGUUGGGCCAAUUCAGGGGAGAGCUUCCUGAAUAAUUCCUCCUGGGCUUCGGUGUAAUCCCUCUUGUUGCCACCUCCCACUGCGCUGCCUUUGCUCCUCUUCUGGGCUGUGCUGCCCCUGGAUGCUUCGGCAUUGCGACACAGAUAGUAGUGGUGGUCUCUCCCGUCCUCGCACUCAGGGUUUCUGCACAGAAAUGAGGUUUUGCAGAGAUUAUCAUCAUCAUGGACCUCCAGACAUUUCCAGCAGGCUCCCAGUUUUCGCACUGCGUCCUUCUUCUCUGUGAGCUUGAGCACACGGAACUUUUUGCAGAAGUACAGCUUCUUCUUAUGCUUAAUGUCCCCACAGACGAUACAUCCUGAGAGAUGGCUACCUGACUGGUUUGCAGCCCUGGUUCUGGCUUGCCUUUGCUCAGGUCGGAUUUCUUUCCUUGGCAGCUCUUCGUCCCUCAAUUGGUCCAGCUGUUCAUAGAUGUUCUCUUGACUCUUGAGGAAGGUCAGAAG